UACAGAGGGGGCAAGCGUUGUUCGGAAUUACUGGGCGUAAAGGGCGCGUAGGCGGCCUGUUAAGUCGGACGUGAAAUCCCUCGGCUCAACCGGGGAACUGCGUCCGAUACUGGCGGGCUUGAAUUCGGGAGAGGGAUGUGGAAUUCCAGGUGUAGCGGUGAAAUGCGUAGAUAUCAGGAGGAACACCAGCGGCGAAGGCGGCGCUCUGGGCCGGUACUGACGCUGAGGAGCGAAAGCGUGGGGAGCAAACAGG
rnacentral:rRNA from 1 species